CCGCGGGCGUAAUUCUGGUCUGGCUUCUGUAGUGGGGACAGCUCGUGCCGAUUCAAGAGGAAGCCCAGCAAGGAGCUGGGCCACAGGUGAUUACUCCUCAAGACCCCAGGCAGAAGUCUGUUCCUUUGGGCCUAAGGAGAAAAGGGUAAUGAAGGGCCACUUCAACUUCAAAUGCAAAAGUCACAAUCAGGAUCUCAUUGAUCUCAUACAACCCAGGAACUGACCUGAAAAGAUGUACUGAAAGAAACUCCUAGAUGAAGCAUCCUGGGAAGAUGGCAGAGUAGGUCAGAAAUUUCCAGACUCUCCAAAUUUCCUCCACAAAUAGACAGAACAUCACCACAAAAUGAACUCACAGCAACAAGAGUAAAGGGGUAAAGCAAUCAUCUUCCUAAGACACCUUGAGAGGACCUCAGGAAAGAUAGACCCUUAUGAGGCUGAAGUUUGGCAUGAGUGAAGUGCAGACGUCUCCAGACCAACUUUGCUGAACCAACAAACAGCAGACCCUGGAAGGAACUCCUUCAGGAAGCAAACUAGUCCUCAAGAAAUUUCACCUCAUAAAAUUUUCACCUCACAAACUUUCAUCUAACAAAAAGCUUAGGGAUCAGAUGGCUGAAUGGGAGAAGACUGAAAGACACCUACUGUUUCUGGAUACCAGGCCUAGCAGUGCUGACCAGACAUGAUCCUAGGCUAUGGCUUUGGGUAAGGAAGAGCAAGCACAUGGCAGUGAGUGAGGUACCUCAGGAAGCAAGAACAUUUUUGGGAUGUGACUGGAGGCUCUACCUGUGGCUUAGGGGAGGAGAAGUGCCUGAGGUUGAACCCCUAGAUAGAAUUCAGAAAAUAAAAGUAAGGAAGACCUCAGGCCUCGGACACCAUCACUCACAAGUCAGGAUUAAAGCCUGAUUACAAUAACAAGCUGCUAAAAAUAGACUAAAAUAAAAUAAAAAUGAGUAAGCAAAGGAAAAAGAGCCCCACCAUAGAUAGCUUCUAUGGUAUAAAAGAAGAUCUGGGUUCAUAUUCACAGGAAGAUAGUGAGGUUAAAAAAAGCCACUCCUACCCCAAAAAAUUACAUCGAAUUGUCACAAGCCCAAAAAGAGUAUUUGGAAUAACUUAAUUCUUCCCAGUUUUUCCUCUACUUCUCUUGCUUCUCAAAA